GAUGAACGCUGACAGAAUGCUUAACACAUGCAAGUCUUUGGCGAAGCUGUGCUUGCACAGCCUAGCCAAGGCGGACGGGUGAGUAACGCGUAAGGAACUUGCCCUGCAGUCAGGGAUAACAGACGGAAACGACUGAUAAGACCUGGUAAAGUCAGGCGGACCCAUGUCCAGCCUGAUGAAAAGAGAUGCUGCAGGAGAGCCUUGCGUCCUAUUAGCUUGUUGGUGGGGUAACGGCCCACCAAGGCGAUGAUAGGUAGCCGGCCUGAGAGGGUGGACGGCCACAAGGGGACUGAGAUACGGCCCUUACUCCUACGGGAGGCAGCAGUGGGGAAUAUUGGACAAUGGGGGCAACCCUGAUCCAGCAAUUCUGUGUGCACGAUGAAGGUUUUCGGAUUGUAAAGUGCUUUCAGCAGGGAAGAAAAAAAUGACGGUACCUGCAGAAGAAGCGACGGCUAAAUACGUG
rnacentral:rRNA from 1 species